UUCUUCCUUCUUCUCUGUCUCUCUACAUGAAUGGCUUAAUGGCUCAAACUUAUUAACACCUGUUCACUCAACCAAAGUUCAGAUUAUACACUUUCCCCUUUCCUUGUUUCUUCCUCUUUCUCUUUUACUUUUUCUCUUUCAGAAAAGAAUCGAUGAAUUGAAUCCAAAGUUCAGAUUUUUAGCUAUAUUUUUGGGUUACUCUAAUGUAUUUCCGGAUUGGGUUUUUAUUAUCUAGGUAAUCGAUCUAGACUUUGAUUAAUAUCCCCAAAGUUGGAUAUUUCUAUAGAAAUCAGUUUUGAAGUUAAUCUGUUUUUUAGGGUUAGCUUAGUGAUUAAAAAUCAUAAAUAUUUGGGAUUUUGAAGAGGGUUUGUAGGAGUAGUGAUUAAUACUCACCAUUACCAGGUUGUUUCAAUAUCUAACGCUUACAAAAUUAUCACCAUUACCAGGUUGUUUGUAGUAGUAGUAAUCAUUCACAAGUUAGAUGGUUCAAAAGGCGGUUUUUGGAUUACUAAAGAUUCAUUUGUUCAAGAUCAUUCACCAGCAACAACACCUCCAUUACCACUUCUUCCAUCAUUAUCAAGUGAGGAAGAUUUAAAAAGGGUUGGAUCAUUGAAACACUACAUGUCAACUCAAUACCAAUUUACAGUUUUAGAAUGAUGUAAAUAUAGAAGGGGGCAAGGAAUUUGGAUAUCCUUCCCUGUGUUUUGAUCAGUUGUCUAACAAAUGGAUGCAGAAUUUAUAUCAAUGUGUCUAAGGAAGUUAGUUUAGUCAGAAUUCAUUGAGUACGGCUAAUGCAAAUUUAUGUAAUGGGUCAUUGAUAAACACAUUGGGUUAAGAGGGAAAACCUUCUAAACAAAUUAGCGGUACACCAGGCAGUGGUCUUGGCGGAAGAGUUGCUUGGUGUUUAACUGAUUAGACCAAAGUUAGAGGAUGUCUGGGCAGGUGAUAGAUAUGGUUGGUCCGAGUUAGAUAAGGCGGGAGUUAUGGUAGUAAAGGUGGGACAACCAGUGGUGAGACGGUUUUUGGUGGUGACGACGGCUUAAAAUUGUGGUAAAAGGGUUUCUUGAGGUUAAUGGGAGUGUUUUUAGCCAAAGGAAGCGAGGAUGGUCAUAAGGCAGAGGAGAAUCUGGAUUCUGGAGGCAGCAUUAAGAUUCUAGCUCAUAACAUGACGAGAAAUGGCAAGAUAAGUAGUGCCUCCAGGGUAAAAGUUUGGCUGGAGGCACUGGUGGCAGAGUGCCGUUAAUGUCUACAGCAGGCUCAAUGAGCCAGAUAUAUUGGUCCAUGGAGGAAGAAGCUAUGGUUGCCAGAAAAUUCUGGUGCUGCUGGUACACUCUAUGAUGCUGUUCUCCAAAGCCUUUUUAUUUGCAAUCGCAGCAUGUCAAGUCAAAUGAUACACUUCUUCUCAAGUUUCCUAAUCAGCCACGUUGGAGAAAUAUCUAGGACAUUUCAGCAGUAUGCUCGAAUGCGAAUCUAAGACCUGGAGAUCCGAUUGAACCACAACGUCUUAUUGUCUCUCUGUUUCAUAGCAUCAAUGUAAGCUUUCUCUCUUUAAUCAUUUCUUUUCAAUGGCCGAUCGAUUGUUUUUUAUUGGUUCGAUGUUUCACCAGGUCCGUUCUAUUAAUUUCAAACAAAAAGUAAAUAAAAGUGUUGAACCAAUCCAGUUUAGGGAGCUAACUGAGCUUCCUCAAUUGAGCAUUUUGUAUAUUUUUAUGUGGUAUAUCAAGUAGAAGAUACAAUUAACUGUAGCAACCAUGUUGAUUUUCCUUAUUGUGUUUUUGUGCGGUGUUUCAUGACCAACUCUUUCAUUGUUUAUCAAGCUUCUAGAAGUUUUCCAAUUGUAGUUUCAUGACCGUUCUUUCUUAUAUUGGUACAUCACAAUAGUUUUUUGGACUGGGAAUUGAAUAUAAGGGCUCUUCGAGACAUUUUAUGAGGUUGCUCUUGCCUUAGUCAUUUAGUUACCUGUAGAUCUUGAACAAAAUCGAUAACCUUACCCCUUUCUUAUGAUAUCAGAGAUUAUUUCUUAGAUUCAAGUGUUUGUCUCCCAUUUGGCUUUGGUUGAACCUCACACUACUGUAU